UACGUAGGGUGCAAGCGUUGUCCGGAAUUAUUGGGCGUAAAGAGCUCGUAGGCGGCCUGUUGCGUCGGCUGUGAAAACCCGGGGCUCAACCCCGGGCCUGCAGUCGAUACGGGCAGGCUAGAGUCCGGUAGGGGAGACUGGAAUUCCUGGUGUAGCGGUGAAAUGCGCAGAUAUCAGGAGGAACACCGGUGGGGAAGGCGGGUCUCUGGGACGGAACUGACGCUGAGGAGCGAAAGCGUGGGGAGCGAACAGG
rnacentral:rRNA from 1 species